GUAACCUGCCUGUAAGACUGGGAUAACUCCGGGAAACCGGGGCUAAUACCGGAUGCUUGUUUGAACCGCAUGGUUCAAACAUAAAAGGUGGCUUCGGCUACCACUUACAGAUGGACCCGCGGCGCAUUAGCUAGUUGGUGAGGUAACGGCUCACCAAGGCAACGAUGCGUAGCCGACCUGAGAGGGUGAUCGGCCACACUGGGACUGAGACACGGCCCAGACUCCUACGGGAGGCAGCAGUAGGGAAUCUUCCGCAAUGGACGAAAGUCUGACGGAGCAACGCCGCGUGAGUGAUGAAGGUUUUCGGAUCGUAAAGCUCUGUUGUUAGGGAAGAACAAGUACCGUUCGAAUAGGGCGGUACCUUGACGGUACCUAACCAGAAAGCCACGGCUAACUACGUGCCAGCAGCCGCGGUAAUACGUAGGUGGCAAGCGUUGUCCGGAAUUAUUGGGCGUAAAGGGCUCGCAGGCGGUUCCUUAAGUCUGAUGUGAAAGCCCCCGGCUCAACCGGGGAGGGUCAUUGGAAACUGGGGAACUUGAGUGCAGAAGAGGAGAGUGGAA
rnacentral:rRNA from 1 species